GGCCGGAUGGCGCAAUGGUAGCGCGCAGCCCUCCUAUUCAUUGCUACACGUAAAACACGUAGAAUAGAGAAUUGUGAGGCUGAGGCUGAGGGUUCGAGUCCCUCUUCGGUCG